rnacentral:lncRNA from 1 species
AUUAAAAUCUAUACUAUAUUAUUGCUACCAUGAAAGUCUUAUCUUUGGCUGUUUUUCAAGUAGAAAAGUAAGUGUACUGUGAGCCUUUUAUUUGAGAUGCUGAGAGCUAUUAGGAUGAGUAUUUCAGUUUUCUUGUCAAUAGUGAUACUCUGAUUUUUUAACUUAGAUUUUAUAGCUCUAGUUUUACAGUUUUGGAAAACAGCAGUUUUUAAACAAAAUUAAUAUAUGAGCUAUUUAAAAUGGUCUUUUUAGAGUAAGUCUUACACAUAAUGGUCAUUUGCUACUUGGAUUUUCUUGUCCAAUUAGUAGUGACAUUUGACAUUGUAUUUAGUCUUUCCUUCCAUUCAUUAAACAAAUCUUACUGUGCAUGUAGGGAGUAUAGAAUGCUACAUUUAAUCUUAUGAGAUCAUGCUGUUUACAAAAUUUUAUGAUGAAAUUAAUGCUUUCUUCAGUAGGCAGUCUUACAUUGUAGGCAGACUCCUGUCAAGUUUUGUCUUUCAAAAUGGUCCUCAUUAGCAAGUUACCAAAAGUAAAAAUAGGGCAAUAAAGUAACAGAAUUCCUUUUAAACCCAUAGUAAGCUCUU